GUGCUCGCUUCGGCAGCACAUAUACUAAAAUUGGAACGAUACAGAGAAGAUUAGCAUGGCCCCUUGCCCAAGGAU
rnacentral:snRNA from 1 species